AUUUGAAAUCUGGCUCUUUCAGAGUCCGAGUUGUAAUUUGUAGAGGAUGCUUCGGAAUGGUCCCAGUCUAAGUUCCUUGGAACAGGACGUCACAGAGGGUGAGAAUCCCGUAUGUGACUGGGUAACCGGCCCAUGUGAAGCUCCUUCGACGAGUCGAGUUGUUUGGGAAUGCAGCUCUAAAUGGGUGGUAAAUUUCAUCUAAAGCUAAAUACCGGCCAGAGACCGAUAGCGCACAAGUAGAGUGAUCGAAAGAUGAAAAGCACUUUGGAAAGAGAGUUAAAAAGUACGUGAAAUUGUUGAAAGGGAAGCGUUUGCAACCAGACUUGCCUGCAGUUGAUCAACCGGUGUUCUCACCGGUGCACUCUUCUGCAGACAGGCCAGCAUCAGUUUGGGUGGUUGGAUAAAGGCUGGAGGAUUGUAGCUCCUCUCGGGGAGAACUUAUAGCCUCCAGCGUCAUGCAGCCUGCCCGGACUGAGGACCGCGCUUCUAGCUAGGAUGCUGGCGUAAUGGUUGUAAACGACCCGUCUUGAAACACGGACCAAGGAGUCUAACAUCUAUGCGAGUGUUUGGGUGUCAAACCCGUACGCGUAAUGAAAGUGAACGGAGGUGGGAAGCGCAAGCUGCACCAUCGACCGAUCCUGAUGUCUUCGGAUGGAUUUGAGUAUGAGCAUAGCUGUUGGGACCCGAAAGAUGGUGAACUAUGCCUGAAUAGGGUGAAGCCAGAGGAAACUCUGGUGGAGGCUCGCAGCGGUUCUGACGUGCAAAUCGAUCGUCAAAUUUGGGUAUAGGGGCGAAAGACUAAUCGAACCAUCUGGUAGCUGGUUCCUGCCGAAGUUUCCCUCAGGAUAGCAGUAACGUAUUCAGUUUUAUGAGGUAAAGCGAAUGAUUAGAGGCCUUGGGGUUGAAACAACCUUAACCUAUUCUCAAACUUUAAAUAUGUAAGAAGUCCUUGUUACUUAGUUGAACGUGGACAUUUGAAUGUACCGUUACUAGUGGGCCAUUUUUGGUAAGCAGAACUGGCGAUGCGGGAUGAACCGAACGCGAGGUUAAGGUGCCGGAAUGCACGCUCAUCAGACACCACAAAAGGUGUUAGUUCAUCUAGACAGCCGGACGGUGGCCAUGGAAGUCGGAAUCCGCUAAGGAGUGUGUAAGGUUGUUGCACACCACAGUUGAUCGCUAGUGAACCGUCGAGUUCACCACGGCUCUAACAUGCAGGAAAGCGUCUCCCUCACCGGAGGUGCUACAUGCAGCGGGCCUCCCUUGACCGGGAGGCUCGUCCACAGACUAGAUGGAGCUGGCUGUGAUCGUCUCACAGUUAAGAUAUAGCCGAUGUCCUCUCCGGAAGGAGACGGUAAUCGCAGAACAACUCACCGGCCGAAUGAACUAGCCCUGAAAAUGGAUGGCGCUCAAGCGUGCUACCCAUACCUCGCCGUCAGGGUAGAAACGAUGCCCUGACGAGUAGGCAGGCGUG
rnacentral:rRNA from 1 species